rnacentral:tRNA from 13 species
GGGUCGUUAGCUCAGUUGGUAGAGCAGUUGACGUUUAAUCAAAUGGUCGCAGCAUCGAUUCAUGCACGACCCACCA